rnacentral:rRNA from 1 species
GAUGAACGCUGGCGGCGUGCCUAAUACAUGCAAGUCGAGCGAACGGACGAGAAGCUUGCUUCUCUGAUGUUAGCGGCGGACGGGUGAGUAACACGUGGAUAACCUACCUAUAAGACUGGGAUAACUUCGGGAAACCGGACCUAAUACCGGAUAAUAUUUUGAACCGCGUGGUUCAUAAGUGAAAGACGGUCUUGCUGUCACUUAUAGAUGGAUCCGCGCUGCAUUAGCUAGUUGGUAAGGUAACGGCUUACCAAGGCAACGAUGCAUAGCCGACCUGAGAGGGUGAUCGGCCACACUGGAACUGAGACACGGUCCAGACUCCUACGGGAGGCAGCAGUAGGGAACCUUCCGCAAUGGGCGAAAGCCUGACGGAGCAACGCCGCGUGAGUGAUGAAGGUCUUCGGAUCGUAAAACUCUGUUAUUAGGGAAGAACAUAUGUGUAAGUAACUGUGCACAUCUUGACGGUACCUAAUCAGAAAGCCACGGCUAACUACGUG